GCCCAUUCUCUAGGACCAUGUCCUUGCUGCUCCCAGCUACCUUUCCUGCUUCUCCUAGGCUCAGACUUGACUGUUUUGGACUUGGGGCUGAGCUCCCUGCUGUGCUGCAGGACGUGCUACACAGCCACAGCUCUGCACGUGUGUGUGAGUGCGUUAAGCACAGUGCUGCAAUGGACUUCGGGAACCGUGUGCGCUGCGUGUGCCUCACCAGGGCCCGGCAGUGGGGCCGCGCUUCAGCUGCAGGCUGCAAAGCAAAGCCAGGAGUUAUCUCGGGUACUACUCUGCUGCCACAGACAAACCCGCAGUGCAAUGGUGUUUGCAGGCCUGGAGGUCAAAUCCAGCACUGAGAAGUGGGGCUGAAAGCGCACGCGUGCUUGGUGCAGGAAGGUGGUGGUGCUGAGAAGUGCUGCAGGUCGCAUUAGCGAUGCUUUGGGGAGCUGUGUCGCUUACAGCCCAUCACCGCUGUGCUAAUGAGGAGCCUUGCUCUGAAGUCACCUCUCCUUCAUUAAUUAAGGCUGUUUUGCACGAGGCAGGGAAGAGGAAUUGAGGAAGGGCUCUCGAUGCCGUUACGCUUUCCAUAGAUGUUGCAGAGGAUCCAUUACUGCCCGUGAAAGCCUUGUCAACAUUUUUCCAAGGAAGAAUGAAAAUGUAAAUAACUUCAAAAUGAUUCAAUGUCACCGUGGUAUGGAAAAAGGUCACGCUGCUGGCGACCAUUUAUCUUUGUGCCGAUUUAAAGAGCUUUUUUCCUAUUACAUUUUUUGAAAUUAAUGUUUUUAAACAUUACCCAAAGUAAUGUUAACAAUCACGGGGUUUAUGGGAUUGAUCGCUCUGCGGGCUGGGAUUUAGAUUGGAAAAGAUUUGUUUUAGGCCGCUGUUGCUGGGAGGUGGCUAACAGACUUGGUGAUUUAUCGCUUACAAAAACGUCGGUGUGAUUGAACAGAAAGACGAAACCAGCUCUUGAGUUCCCAAGAAAAUGGGAGGGGAGGGUGCUCCCUGGGAGUGAGUUUGGGUUGAUGGGAGCAGAGCUUGCGUGUGUAAAUGGUGCAGUGUACAAAUGCAAGGCGAGCCCACAGGGAUGGGCUGUUUGCCUGCAGUUCCCCUGCUGGAGGGCAGAUGGGCUGGAGCCCGGGUUUGGCUUACAGAAGGUUUUCUGCUCUUCCACCCAGGAAGAGUUCCAACAGCGCUGAACCUUGGUUUGGGGACGGGGAAAAAAUAGCUGUGCUCUCCAUAGAAACACUUGAC
rnacentral:lncRNA from 1 species